AGCGAACGCUGGCGGCAGGCUUAACACAUGCAAGUCGAGCGGGCACUUCGGUGUCAGCGGCAGACGGGUGAGUAACACGUGGGAACGUACCCUUCGGUUCGGAAUAACGCUGGGAAACUAGCGCUAAUACCGGAUACGCCCUUUUGGGGAAAGGUUUACUGCCGAAGGAUCGGCCCGCGUCUGAUUAGCUAGUUGGUGGGGUAAUGGCCUACCAAGGCGACGAUCAGUAGCUGGUCUGAGAGGAUGAUCAGCCACACUGGGACUGAGACACGGCCCAGACCCCAACGGGAGGCAGCAGUGGGGAAAAUGGGAAAAUGGGCGCAAGCCUGAACCAGCCAUGGCGGGUGAGGGAUGAAGGCCUUAGGGUUGUAAAGCUCUUUUGUCCGGGAAGAAAAUGACGGUACAGGAAGAAUAAACCCCGGCUAACUUCGU
rnacentral:rRNA from 1 species